rnacentral:rRNA from 1 species
UGCAGUCGUACGCUUCUUUUUCCCCGGAGCUUGCUCCACCGGAAAAAGAAGAGUGGCGAACGGGUGAGUAACACGUGGGUAACCUGCCCAUCAGAAGGGGAUAACACUUGGAAACAGGUGCUAAUACCGUAUAACAAUCGAAACCGCAUGCUUUUGAUUUGAAAGGCGCUUUCGGGUGUCGCUGAUGGAUGGACCCGCGGUGCAUUAGCUAGUUGGUGAGGUAACGGCUCACCAAGGCUACGAUGCAUAGCCGACCUGAGAGGGUGAUCGGCCACAUUGGGACUGAGACACGGCCCAAACUCCUACGGGAGGCAGCAGUAGGGAAUCUUCGGCAAUGGACGAAAGUCUGACCGAGCAACGCCGCGUGAGUGAAGAAGGUUUUCGGAUCGUAAAACUCUGUUGUUAGAGAAGAACAAGGAUGAGAGUAACUGUUCAUCCCUUGACGGUAUCUAACCAGAAAGCCACGGCUAACUACGUGCCAGCAGCCGCGGUAAUACGUAGGUGGCAAGCGUUGUCCGGAUUUAUUGGGCGUAAAGCGAGCGCAGGCGGUUUCUUAAGUCUGAUGUGAAAGCCCCCGGCUCAACCGGGGAGGGUCAUUGGAAACUGGGAGACUUGAGUGCAGAAGAGGAGAGUGGAAUUCCUUGUGUUGCGGUGAAAUGCGUAGAUUUUUGGAGGAACACCAGUGGCGAAGGCGGCUCUCUGGUCUGUAACUGACGCUGAGGCUCGAAAGCGUGGGGAGCAAAAAGGAUAA